rnacentral:rRNA from 1 species
GGGGGACGGAGAAGGCUAUGUUGGCCGGGCGACGGUUGUCCCGGUUUAAGCGUGUAGGUGUGUGUUCCAGGUAAAUCCGGUUCACUUUAACACUGAGGCGUGACGACGAGGCACUACGGUGCUGAAGCAACAAAUGCCCUGCUUCCAGGAAAAGCCUCUAAGCAUCAGGUAACAUCAAAUCGUACCCCAAACCGACACAGGUGGUCAGGUAGAGAAUACCAAGGCGCUUGAGAGAACUCGGGUGAAGGAACUAGGCAAAAUGGUGCCGUAACUUCGGGAGAAGGCACGCUGACACGUAGGUGAAGUGAUUUACUCACGGAGCUGAAGUCAGUCGAAGAUACCAGCUGGCUGCAACUGUUUAUUAAAAACACAGCACUGUGCAAACACGAAAGUGGACGUAUACGGUGUGACGCCUGCCCGGUGCCGGAAGGUUAAUUGAUGGGGUCAGCGCAAGCGAAGCUCCUGAUCGAAGCCCCGGUAAACGGCGGCCGUAACUAUAACGGUCCUAAGGUAGCGAAAUUCCUUGUCGGGUAAGUUCCGACCUGCACGAAUGGCGUAAUGAUGGCCAGGCUGUCUCCACCCGAGACUCAGUGAAAUUGAACUCGCUGUGAAGAUGCAGUGUACCCGCGGCAAGACGGAAAGACCCCGUGAACCUUUACUAUAGCUUGACACUGAACAUUGAGCCUUGAUGUGUAGGAUAGGUGGGAGGCUUUGAAGUGUGGACGCCAGUCUGCAUGGAGCCGACCUUGAAAUACCACCCUUUAAUGUUUGAUGUUCUAACGUGGACCCGUAAUCCGGGUUGCGGACAGUGUCUGGUGGGUAGUUUGACUGGGGCGGUCUCCUCCUAAAGAGUAACGGAGGAGCACGAAGGUUGGCUAAUCCUGGUCGGACAUCAGGAGGUUAGUGCAAUGGCAUAAGCCAGCUUGACUGCGAGCGUGACGGCGCGAGCAGGUGCGAAAGCAGGUCAUAGUGAUCCGGUGGUUCUGAAUGGAAGGGCCAUCGCUCAACGGAUAAAAGGUACUCCGGGGAUAACAGGCUGAUACCGCCCAAGAGUUCAUAUCGACGGCGGUGUUUGGCACCUCGAUGUCGGCUCAUCACAUCCUGGGGCUGAAGUAGGUCCCAAGGGUAUGGCUGUUCGCCAUUUAAAGUGGUACGCGAGCUGGGUUUAGAACGUCGUGAGACAGUUCGGUCCCUAUCUGCCGUGGGCGCUGGAGAACUGAGGGGGG